rnacentral:rRNA from 1 species
CAAUAGUGUAUAUUUAAGUUGCUGCAGUUAAAAAGCUCGUAGUUGGAUUUCGGGUGGGAAUGGCCGGUCCGCCGUUUCGGUGUGCACUUGCUACGCCCACCUUGCUGCCGGGGACGUGCUCUUGAGUUCACGCUCGGGACACGGAGUCGGCGAGGUUACUUUGAGUAAAUUAGAGUGUUCAAAGCAGGCCUACGCUCUGAAUACAUUAGCAUGGAGUAACACGAUAGGACUCUGGCCUAUCUUGUUGGUCUGUAGGACCGGAGUAAUGAUUAAGAGGGACAGUCGGGGGCAUUCGUAUUUCAUUGUCAGAGGUGAAAUUCUUGGAUUUAUGAAAGACGAGCUACUGCGAAAGCAUUUGCCAAGGAUGUUUUCAUUAA